AGGUAGUACUUUUGAAGAAACCUAUGCUCUUUGACGGCCCUUUUUCUCAUUAAAGGAACUUGUUAUUUUUCGAAAAUACCCGUUUAUUUUUACUCUUUUUUAGCCUUUAUACCGCCGUCUUAAGAAUUUGUUUUCAUAUAUCUUCGAAAUAGUUAUUUCUAAAAAGUCAGGUCAAGGUGAAGCUUUAAUUCAGGUUAUAAUAAGUUAUCUAUUAAAAAAAUUAAUGGAGAUUAGAUUAAAAUCUUUUUCAAUUAAGAUUUAAAAGUAUAAAUUUAAUAAUAAUUUAUUUAGAAUUAGUAAAAAAGGGUGA
rnacentral:rRNA from 1 species